GACGAACGCUGGCGGCGUGCUUAACACAUGCAAGUCGAACGGAAAGGCCCUGCUUUUGUGGGGUGCUCGAGUGGCGAACGGGUGAGUAACACGUGAGUAACCUGCCCUUGACUUUGGGAUAACUUCAGGAAACUGGGGCUAAUACCGGAUAGGAGCUCCUGCUGCAUGGUGGAGGUUGGAAAGUUUCGGCGGUUGGGGAUGGACUCGCGGCUUAUCAGCUUGUUGGUGGGGUAGUGGCUUACCAAGGCUUUGACGGGUAGCCGGCCUGAGAGGGUGACCGGCCACAUUGGGACUGAGAUACGGCCCAGACUCCUACGGGAGGCAGCAGUGGGGAAUAUUGCACAAUGGGCGGAAGCCUGAUGCAGCAACGCCGCGUGCGGGAUGACGGCCUUCGGGUUGUAAACUGCUUUCGCCUGUGACGAAGCGUGAGUGACGGUAAUGGGUAAAGAAGCACCGGCUAACUACGUG
rnacentral:rRNA from 1 species